GCUGUUUAAAAGCGUUUGAGGUAGAAGUGGGGAUCGAUAUUUGAUUCACCUUUCUACUCCUCUGCGACACAGUGUCAGUUUUAAGCUGCAGGAGGUCCGAAUAGCAACAUGAAGUGCAUCAUGAAGACGUUCCUUCUCAUGAUUUUCCUCCUCGUUAGUCCCUGUGAAAGUAGAAGACACAGGAGUGACAGUUCUAGCAGUGAAUCCAAAAGUAUCGAGAAAUUGAGGCCCUUACUGCUAGAUAUCUGUAGGCUUCUUCCUACUCUAUGCAACCCACCUGCGACAUCUACAACUGCAACUACGACAGCAACAACACUAAAAACCACAGAAACUGCAGGGACCCCACGUGGAGACAGCCUCUGAACUGCGCCAAUGCCUAAACAAGAUCUCCACAUGGAGCUGCUCUGCUUCUCAUGGAGAGUGUGUACUCCAAAAUGUAAUGCACUGUUAGUUUUGUGUUUGCCCACCUCUAAGGCCUACACAAAAAAAAUCUGAAUGUAUUGUUGUGACUAUUGUUUAAAUUUGAGUGGUGAUUCUUCCAUAUUUAAUACAAUUUUUUUCUAUUUUAUUUUCAUAAUGUGCAAUAAAAGCUGCAGUGAAAAACCUAAAGGAUUCUGCUGUGAAACGAGUCUAAUUGAAGCAAAAAUGUAGACCUGGUGAAAGGAAGGAUCCUGUUGGGAGCGUCUUCUGCAGACACUAAUGACAGUGUGCUGAUGACACAACACUGUAAUAUCCACUCAGCGCACUCACAUGACCAUGCUGGAUCAGCACAGCUUAAGUAAGGGUGGAAGCUGAGUCUGUAACACAGUGUGUGUGUGUGUGUGUGUGUGUGUGUGUGUGUGGGUGGGUGUGUGUGUGAGAUUUAUCCUCUUGAUCAACAUUUUCAUUCACUCCUCUGAACUGCUGACUACUUUGAAAAAAAAGAGAAGAAAAGAUUCCCAUUACUGACUUUUCUCAAAGUUAAAUGUUUCUAGUUAUAGAUGCCAAUAUUUUAAUGUUUACUUUCUAAAUAAAGAUGAAUCUCAAUAUAUAAACUCUGAAUAUGUAUUUUAAGUAAUGGAUUCUCAUCUGCAACCAACAAAAAUAAACACAGAAACACA